UACGAAGGGGGCUAGCGUUGCUCGGAAUCACUGGGCGUAAAGCGCACGUAGGCGGCUUCUUAAGUCAGGGGUGAAAUCCUGGAGCUCAAACUCCAGAACUGCCUUUGAUACUGAGGAGCUUGAGUCCGGGAGAGGUGAGUGGAACUGCGAGUGUAGAGGUGAAAUUCGUAGAUAUUCGCAAGAACACCAGUGGCGAAGGCGGCUCACUGGCCCGGUACUGACGCUGAGGUGCGAAAGCGUGGGGAGCAAACAGG
rnacentral:rRNA from 1 species